CACGCCCUAAACGAUGAUCUCUAGCUUAUCGGAGUAUCGACCCUCUGAUAGGCGAAGCUAACGCGUUAAGAGAUCCGCCUGGGUAGUACGGCCGCAAGGCUAAAACUCAAAAGAAUAGACGGGGACUUGCACAAGCAGUGGAUCAUGUGGUUUAAUUCGACGCUAAACGAAGAACCUCACCAGGACUUGAAAUUCAGUUGAAAGCUCUAAGAAACUAGAGCCCUCUCACAAGGACAACUGGACAGGUGA
rnacentral:rRNA from 1 species